AUGAGUGUUAUCAGUUGGAACUACCGGGGGCUUGGGAACCCCGAGCCAGUUCAUGAGCUUCACAGCAUAGUGAAGCAAGAAGGGCAUACCUUACUCUUUGUCAUGGAAACAAAGAUAAGGGCAGCAAGGGUGGAAAAUCUGAAGUUAACUUUGGGUUUUGAGGGUUGUUUUGCAGUAAACAGUGUUGGUUUAAGCGGAGGCAUUGGCUUGUUUUGGUCAAGAGAUGUCUCAGUUGAACUUAAAAACUUUAGUACCGGCCACAUCGAUGCAGUGGUGCGGAAGAAAGAUCAAAACUCUUUCGAGUGGAGAUUCACAGGGUUUUAUGGUGCUCCAAGAGUCGAAGACAGGAAACACAGCUGGCGUUUCCUUCGUACUUUGCACGCCAUCCCCCAUAAUGCAUGGUUAUGCAUGGGUGAUUUCAAUGAAACGCUCUAUGGAGAAGAACACUUUAGUCGCGCGCCUCGGCCAGAGGGGCAGAUGAGGGCGUUUCGGGAAGCUAUCGACGAGUGUGAGCUCCAAGAUCUCGGCUGGACUGGGGUGCCAUUUACUUGGGACAACCGUCAGGCGGGUGGAGCCAAUGUCAAAGCGCGAAUUGAUCGAGCCUUCGCAAACGAGGCAUUCAGGCAACAAUUCGGGCAUACUGCAGUUCGUCACAUCAGCGCAGUCGAGUCAGAUCACUGCUUUGUGCGCAUGGAAUAUAGGGAGCAGCGUGGUGACGCAAUGUGUAGGGGUGGCCGACCCUUCCGUGUCACAUCCCUAGUUCUGACAAUGCCUAUUGCAUGCAUUAGAGUGUUACAUCAUGUUUAA
rnacentral:rRNA from 1 species